AACCAUGUGGUUUGCACGCCUGGCGUUUUCUGCUCCAUGAGUAUUUAAAUAGCCGCAGUACCCUGACUGUGCGAAGGUAGCAUAAUCAGUUGGCUUAUAAUUGAAGUCUGGUAUGAAAGAAUAAAUGGGUGGCGACUGUCUCCAAAAGACUGAAAGAAGUUGUUUAUCAAGUGAAAAAACUUGUAAAGAGAUAAAAGACGAGAAGACCCUAGAAAUUUUUUAUAGUUGUAGAAUCAUUUAAAUACACUCUAUUUUGCUGGGGCGGUAAAGUAACACUACAACUUGCUAUAUAAUGCUUGGAGGUUAGUUUUCAGAAAAAAUAUAAUUACUCUAGGGAUAACAGCAUAAUUUUUAAGAGUUUGUGACCUCGAUGUUGGACUAGGGCCUGUAACGUUCAGAAGAUGUUAUUGCACGUUCUGUUCGAACGCCUCCCCCUACAUG
rnacentral:rRNA from 1 species